rnacentral:rRNA from 1 species
UAGGGAAUCUUCGGCAAUGGGGGGAACCCUGACCGAGCAACGCCGCGUGAGUGAAGAAGGUUUUCGGAUCGUAAAGCUCUGUUGUUAAGGAAGAACGAGUGUGAGAAUGGAAAGUUCAUGCUGUGACGGUACUUAACCAGAAAGGGACGGCUAACAACGUGCCAGCAGCCGCGGUAAUACGUAGGUCCCGAGCGUUGUCCGGAUUUAUUGGGCGUAAAGCGAGCGCAGGCGGUUAGAAAAGUCUGAAGUGAAAGGCAGUGGCUCAACCAUUGUAGGCUUUGGAAACUGUUUAACUUGAGUGCAGAAGGGGAGAGUGGAAUUCCAUGUGUAGCGGUGAAAUGCGUAGAUAUAUGGAGGAACACCGGUGGCGAAAGCGGCUCUCUGGUCUGUAACUGACGCUGAGGCUCGAAAGCGUGGGGAGCGAACAGG